UGGUGGAGUGAUUUGUCUGGUUAAUUCCGUUAACGAACGAGACCUCGACCUAUUAACUAGUUUACCAAACCCUUGGGUUUGCGUAAGCUUCUUAAAGGGACUAUCGGUGUGUAGCCGAUGGAAGCUCGAGGCAAUAACA
rnacentral:rRNA from 1 species